rnacentral:tRNA from 1 species
UCCCAUAUAAUCUAGCGGCUAAGGUAUCCGACUCUUACUCGGAUGGCCCAGCUUCCAUUUUCGGUAUGGUAA